CGUGCGCUGUCCCUGCGCCCCGCUCCGCCCGCGCGUCUCAGUCCGCGCCGCGCCUCGGGCGUCCAGAGCGCGCCCCUCGUACCGCAGCGAGCGCCGCCCGCGGCAGCCCAGCCCAGCCUUUCUCCUCCUCCUCCUCCUCCUUCUCCGCCGCCGCCGGACACGCAGCUGCAGGCCGGGGCCGGGACGCAGCUGGGGAGGCAGGGACGCGCGCAGCCAGCCCUUCCCCCUCCGGCUCCCGCACCGCCGGCCGCCUCCCCUCGCCCUCCUCCUCUCCCCUUCCUGCUCCUUCGCUUCUCCUCCUCCUCCUCUCCCGGCCCCGGCUGCCAGCACCAUGUCCGCAGGGGGAGAUUUUGGGAACCCACUGAGAAAAUUCAAGUUGGUGUUCCUGGGGGAACAGAGCGUUGGCAAGACGUCUCUGAUCACACGGUUCAUGUACGACAGCUUCGACAACACAUACCAGGCGACUAUUGGGAUUGACUUCUUGUCAAAAACCAUGUACUUAGAGGAUCGUACGGUGCGACUGCAGCUCUGGGACACAGCGGGCCAGGAGAGGUUCCGCAGCCUGAUCCCCAGCUACAUCCGGGACUCCACAGUGGCCGUGGUGGUGUACGACAUCACAAACCUCAACUCCUUCCAGCAGACCUCUAAGUGGAUUGAUGAUGUCAGGACAGAGAGGGGCAGUGACGUCAUCAUCAUGCUGGUGGGCAACAAGACGGAUCUGGCUGACAAGAGGCAGAUAACCAUUGAGGAGGGGGAGCAGCGCGCCAAAGAACUGAGUGUCAUGUUCAUCGAGACCAGUGCGAAGACCGGCUACAACGUGAAGCAGGUGUGGGUCCCUUGCGGUCACAUGACCCAUGCUUAGCUCCUCAUGACCCCCUGGCCAGCCUACAGGUGAGAGACCUCCCAAGCUCAACUCUGUGAGAGGCCCUGGGGGUUGGGGAGAGAGAAGUCGAUGUAGCUCCUGUCCCCCAGGACACAGUGGGACAGACAGGAGAGUAAAGCCCAAGGUCAGAAUGAGAAAAGCCCAGAGGGUGGAGACACGGGGAGAGCGGGAGGGGAAGGAUGGGGCCGGGGCUCACCUCGCAUCUCCCCCUCUCCCCAGCUCUUAAAGUGUGGCAUCGGCUCUGCCUGGAAUGGAGAAUGUCCAGGAGAAAAGCAAAGAAGGGAUGAUUGACAUCAAGCUGGACAAACCCCAGGAGCCCCCAGCCAGCGAGGGCGGCUGCUCCUGCUAAUGCAGCCUGACCUGCCGGCUUCCUCUGACACUACUCGCUUGUUGUGUUGCUUCCUAUUGGUUAGCUUCCUAAAGGGGGUGGGAAAUGAGCUUAUCAAGAUGGGAGGAUUUUUCUUUUCUCUCUGUCUCUAGGAAUAGGGUGGGGUGGGGAGGGAGGCUGGGCAUCAGGGAUCACGUCACUCUUAACAGCUGUUACUUAAACAACUAUUUUUUGGUUUGGUUGUAAUAUAUUGUACUUUAUUAAGAUUGCCAAAAACUGUUAAAAUUUAAAAAAAAAAAUUUAAAUCAUGUGUAUACAACUUUUUGCCAGAUAAAAAUGUAGUCAUUUUUAUUUGAAAGAUGUGCUUUUUUGUUUUUGUAUAUUUGUAAACUUAUAGAGAACCUUUUCCACACACCUCCUCCUUCCUGUCCUCUUUGAACUGUUCAUCACUUCUGCCCUCUUCCCACCCCCAGCCCAGUAAACUAAAACAUUAACUGGGCAACUUAAUUAGGCUCCAAUCCCUGGCCGUCUGGCCCAGACCAACCAACCAGGCCUUGCCUGGUUAAAUCAAACACUGAUUGAACAAAACGGCCUCUGUAGAAGUGGCUCUGACUCUGUCCUUCUGUGGCUACAGUGGAACAUCGGCCAUGGCCUCGAGCUGAAGCUAAGGCCUUGUGGACUGCAGGGAGCCCAGCAGCAGGCCCCACUGGAGUUAUUUCUGCCUCUCCCUUCCCCUCUCUGAAAAGCCUUGAAGGGGGUGGAGGGCAGUUGUCACAGGCAACCUUGUGUUUUCUGUGGCCUGCCCAGUGAUUGGCAGAGCAAGAGGUCAUUGGAAGGAAGGACGAGGUGCUGUUGGCAGCUGUGAGCAGUGUCACCGUGUGGUUUAUUGACUUGGGGCACCAUGUGUACUUCUGGAAAUUUUUUAACCAACCUGCCCAGCGUUCAGCACACAUAUUUGGAUUGAAUCUAUAGGAGAGGCAAAAAGAAACUCAGUGUGUGCCUCCUGAAACCCUCCUCCUUGGAUGCCAGGGACGCUGGAGCCUGUAUCACACAGUAUUAAUCCAUUUGUGAUUGGGGAAGGGAGGGUUGUCUGCAGAACCACCACCUUGAAGAUACAUGUUCUCAGGUCCUUGGUGGUUAAUACUGUUGAGUGCUGUUCUGGAAAAGCUGACUUCUUGAUGUGUUUUUGCUCCACUGGCACAGUGGAGUUGUUUGUGCACAUACCUUUGUGCAUAUUGUAGUAGCACUCUGGUUGGCUGACGUGUGGUGUCCAGAAGGCUGCCCAGAGAGUCAUCCUUACCAUUUUUGACUCAUUUCUGAGAAGGACUAAGUCUGAGGACCUGUAAAAUCUCUGAAGAGAGCUCUCUCUUCUCACUAAGUGAUUUAACCCACUUGGCCUGUAUUCCAAAUAGACCCAGACUCACUGACCCCGAGCCUGCACGACGCCAGGCAGUGGACAGCGACUCGGGCCACAAACAGUAAAACCUGCUCUCCAAGCUGGCAUUGAUUCUUCUUCCUGGCUGCUGCUGGGCAUGUCAUAGGUGAGCGAAAUGACCGUCUGGGGUGUGGUAGGGGGUGAAUUCCUCCACAAAGCAGCACUCAAACAAGUUAUUGCAGUGAAUUUUGGGACUUCUCAGAAAUGAAUCCAAGAUGGCAGCCAGCAAGUUCAGUGAAACCUGGCAGGACUCACUGAUAUUUGUCCAGUGAGCCUGUCACACACUCUCUGCUAAGGAGGCCGUAUGUCAGAGCUGAUCUUUAAAGAGAAAUUUAUCUUCAGGUGAAAAAAGAGGAAGCAGGAUUCCCACUGAGCUCCUCUUCCAAAAGGCAAAGACCAAUGUAUGAACGUAAUUCUAAUGUCAUGUGUUUAGUUUUUAUAUGUGUGUACAUAAUUAUAUAGAGAGAUAGACUUGUGUAUACACCUUCCACACACACAUUCUCACAGAGGUACAUGUGCUCAAUGUAUAUUCUUGUUUUUCCUGCUCUCAAGUUGGAACUUGCAUUGUGAUUACAGUUUUCGAAAUUCAAAAGUACUGCAACGUGUUGAAAUAAGUAAUAUUGUCAAAAACUUGUGAUUGUCUUGCCAUCAAUAAAAUAAUUACAUAGAUGUGUUACACUACAGGCAAAAAUAGCCCACGAGAAUAUGUGCACCAUUUCUCCCUCUGUGUACUUAUAUGCACGGGUGUGCAUGCCACGUGGGCCAGCACCUCCCCACCAUGGCACACCCCUAAGUGGUGCUUGUUGGAAGAGUGCUUACUUACCUCGUGAGAAUUUAAAGGAGUCAAUGUUACAGCAUCUGGCCUGAGUGGCAGUGAGGGCCAUUGCUUGUGGCCUCUGGGACAGCCCCAAUUUACAGUGAUCUGCACUGGGUCUCGGUGAAUGAAUGUAUGGUAGAUUUUUACCUUCUUGGUACUAAAGAGUAGCUUUUCUUUAAAACAUUCCUAUAAAAAAAAAAAAAGUAGAAACUCAGUUCCCUUUCCAUGUGUAUACAUAUCUUAAGGCACCAUGAACUUUGUUUUUCCCUUCACAACCUAGAGAAGCAGUAGGAGGCGCAGUAGAUAGUGUUUGGCCUGAUGUGGCCUCUGUGAGCCCUGCCUUUCCUAGCACAUACACGACAUCUUCUUUUGAGUCCAGGCUCUCCCCAGCGUAUCUAAGUGGGCCUCUGAAGAUGAAGGCAGUUGCCUCCUUAUCUUGUCCUUUUGCCAUGACAUUCCAUGGCCUGAUUUCCACCCCUCAUUUCCUGGCAUCUGUUAGGCCAGCCAGACAAUGCAGAAGUGCAUUGGGUCUUUGGUUCUCGUUUUGAGCAGGUGCGAUCACUGUCCUCUUGCUUGUAGGUUAAGAUCUUGACUCAAAGAGUUAAAGUUCAAUAAUAAAAUGAUCAGGUUCCCUUGAAGAUGUCAUGAAAUUGCCUCAGCAUCUUUGCCAAAAAUAGGUGGGCUAGUACAAGGCAAAGUGGAGGAAUCCUUUUAGGAAAUUAUCUCAAUUUAGCCAGUGGCUCAGUCCCUUUCCUGAGACUAGCCUCGACUUGGGAGAUGAGCGGGGUCAUCUUCUUGAGGCCCUCUUUUUCUUUGAGGAUGUCGAAGAGCUUCUGUUUCACAGGUAUCUGAAAAGUUGAGCGUAAGAUGGAAAAAGCAGAUAGCAUAUUUAUUAAUGCACGUAACAUGCCAGAAUGAAAGUGUGACAAAAGCAUCUGGAGUCCUGGAAAUGCAGUUGUAUAGUCCAAGGUAAGCACGCUUGGUGAUUUACAAGCAGGUUUCUUUCGGUUAGAGGCUAUCGCUGUCACCAUUUUCUUUUCAUCCUCUUCAAUUCUUUAAUGUUCCCAGGUCCAAGGAACAGUGGCGAGAUCAAUUUAAGUGUCUCAGGCAACAGAAACGAGAAUUGAAGUGGUGGUAACUAAAGGUGCAGACACAUCUUGAGUAUGUCUCUGUCCUCCUGGUGGCCAGCCAGUGCUGAGAGCCCCUGCCCUCAAGUCCCAGGUGUGACAAUAAUGGCACCGCUGGCUUCGGUGUUGUGCAGGCAGAGCAGCCUCAUUUCUUCACAGGGUGGAAGGCAGGUGAGGAUGUCAGGGUGUGAGAACAUGUAGCUGAUGACUGGAUGUAUGUCUGAGUCACAUGAGGUCUGUCUGUCUGCAUCAAGCAACUGGAUUGUAUGUUCACUAGUUUCCAAACUACCUCUCCCCCAAGAAUGUGAGGCAUUGUCACCUGGCUACAGAAAUGUGAAGCAGGGGUCUUGUAACCCUUCCUGUUUCAAAGGCAGGAAAACCAAGACAGAGAAGGUUGACUUGCUUACAGUCACCCAGCAAGCUGGAAGCAGUCAGAACCAAGAUGUUUCUGUCUUCAUCCUUAGCCGACCUGUGUGUAUGAAUGUGACUGUGCACUUGCGCAUGAAGGACUGCUGUGUAUGGGUGCUCCUCAGACCAUCUCUACUCUGGUGAGGACAUGAGACUGUUCAGUGUAUCUAAGUGAGCCACGAAAAAAUCCGCAUACAUUUCAGGCUCCUCCAUUGCAAAUUAGGGCCAGUUCCCCAAACCUACUCUGAUUGUUGUGGGCACUCACAGACCAGGGCACCCUUUGAAUUUUUGUUUGAAAUGAACUAGGCGUUCCAAAACCCUGGGCUCUCAAUGUGUAAACUUCCUGGACAUCAGACCUGUGUGGGUGACACUCCUGGCGGGGUAUGGUGUAUCCUUGCAGUAGGGUUUGGGUGCUUCCCUCCAGUGGGAAGCCUCCAUACAUCGAAGGCUGGCCCCUACCACGUGGUGUUUGUCAACUCCUCCCCUCGGUUUCCCUCACCCAUCCCCAAAAAGUGACUGGGCAUGAGGAGCACAGAGGGUGGCAUUUCCAUCUCUUACUGGCUCAGCAGGCAUAAAUGGCCACAUUGACUUUACAUAAAACUGUGUAAAAUGUGGAAGACUCAGCAUGUUGAUCAAACAAUAAACUGUCCUAAUUCUCAAAACAAA